AAUACUUGGGUUUCCGUGUCCAACAUUUGACCGCCCGUCUUAUUUGAAAAAAAUAAUAAAAAAAAUUAAAAAAAUAAGUCACGUAUAAAGUAUUAAUUAUGUUUUAUCAUCUAACAACAAUAAAAAUACUAAUUAUAAAAAAAUUUCAUAUAAGACAGACAAUCAAACGUUGAACACGGAAACCCAGGGUUUAUCUUUUU
rnacentral:pre_miRNA from 1 species